rnacentral:rRNA from 1 species
CCUACGUGUGGCAGCAGUAGGGAAUCUUCGACAAUGGACGAAAGUCUGACCGAGCACCGCCGCGUGAGUGAAGAAGGUUUUCGGAUCGUAAAACUCUGUUGUUAGAGAAGAACAAGCACGUUUGUAACUGAACCUCCCCUGACGGUAUCUCACCAGAAAGCCACGGCUAACUACGUGCCAGCAGCCUCGGUAAUACGUAGGUGGCAAGCGUUUUCCGGAUUUAUUGGGCGUAAAGCGCGCGCAGGCGGGCUUUUAAGUCUGAUGUGAAAGCCUUCGGCUCAACCGGAGAAGUGCAUUGGAAACUGGGAGACUUGAGUGCAGAAGAGGAGAGUGGAACUCCAUGUGUAGAGGUGAAAUGCGUAGAUAUAUGGAGGAACACCAGUGGCGAAGGCGGCUCUCUGGUCUGUAACUGACGCUGAGGCUCGAAAGCGUGGGGAGCAAACAGGAUUAGAUACCCCAGUAGUC